GAUGAACGCUGGCGGCGUGCCUCAAACAUGCAAGUCGAGCGAGGCUAUGAAUUACCGCAAGGUAAGGCAUAGCCUAGCGGCGAACGGGUGAGUAACACGUGGGUAACCUACCUGGAAGACAGGGAUAACGAUUCGAAAGGGUCGCUAAUACCUGAUAAUAUCCAUCUGCCGGAUGGCGGAGGGAAGAAAGGGGAAACCCGCUUUCAGAUGGGCCCGCGUCCCAUCAGCUAGUUGGUAAGGUAAAGGCUUACCAAGGCGAUGACGGGUAGGGGACCUGAGAGGGUGGCCCCCCACAAUGGAACUGAAACACGGUCCAUACACCUACGGGUGGCAGCAGUAGGGAAUAUUAGUAAUGGGCGAAAGCCUGAACUAGCAACGCCGCGUGUGCGAAGAAGGCCUUCGGGUCGUAAAGCACUUUUUGAGAGGAUGAGGAAGGACGGUACUCUCAGAAUAAGUCUCGGCUAACUACGUG
rnacentral:rRNA from 1 species